rnacentral:lncRNA from 1 species
AACCUGUGGCGCGCUCCGCGGUUCCGGCGCCUGAAGUUUUAGCUGCGGUGGCGGCGGCAGUCGGGACCGACUGCAAGAUGUCAUUUGUCAGAGUGAACCGCUGUGGUCCCCGAGUUGGUGUAAGAAAGACACCGAAAGUAAAGAAGAAGAAAACUUCAGUGAAACAAGAAUGGGAUAAUACCGUGACUGAUCUAACCGUUCAUCGGGCAACUCCCGAAGAUCUGGUACGCCGUCAUGAAAUACACAAAUCGAAGAAUAGAGCAUUAGUACACUGGGAACUCCAAGAAAAAGCUUUGAAGAGAAAAUGGAGGAAGCAGAAACCAGAAACUUUAAAUCUUGAGAAAAGAAGAUUGUCUAUCAUGAAGGAGAUUCUUUCUGAUCAAUACCAGAUGCAAGAUGUGUUGGAGAAAUCUGAUCAUCUAAUAGCUGCAGCAAAAGAGCUGUUUCCUCGUAGGCGCACAGGGUUUCCAAAUGUAACAGUGGCUCCUGAUUCCUCUCAGGGUCCCAUUGUGGUAAAUCAAGACCCUAUCACCCAAUCUAUCUUUAAUGAGUCUGUCAUAGAACCUCAGGCUCUUAAUGAUGUAGAUGGUGAAGAAGAAGGAACUGUUAAUAGCCAGUCAGGAGAAAGUGAGAAUGAGAAUGAGUUGGAUAACUCUCUAAACUCUCAGUCUAACACGAAUACAGACAGGUUUCUCCAACAACUAACAGAAGAGAAUUUUGAGUUAAUUAGUAAGUUGUGGACUGACAUUCAGCAGAAAAUAGCAACCCAGUCACAAAUAACUCCUCCAGGAACGCCAUCAUCUGCUCUUUCAUCAGGGGAGCAAAGAGCUGCUCUGAAUGCUACCAAUGCUGUCAAGAGACUCCAAACCAGGCUUCAGCCUGAAGAAUCUACUGAGACUCUAGACUCAAGCUACGUUGUGGGACACGUGCUGAACUCAAGGAAGCAAAAACAGCUGUUAAAUAAAGUGAAAAGGAAACCGAAUUUGCAUGCUCUUUCCAAGCCGAAGAAAAACAUAUCAUCAGGUAGCACAACCUCUGCAGACUUACCAAAUAGGACUAAUUCCAACCUGGAUGUCCUCAAACACAUGAUACAUGAAGUGGAACAUGAAAUGGAAGAAUAUGAGCGGUGGACAGGUCGCGAGGUCAAGGGUCUGCAGAGCAGUCAGGGUCUUACAGGCUUCACUUUGUCGCUGGUGAGCUCCCUCUGUCGCCUGGUUCGGUACCUUAAAGAGAGUGAGAUCCAGCUACGUAAAGAAGUAGAGACAAGGCAACAACUGGAACAAGUAUUAGGUGAUCAUCGAGAGCUCAUUGAUGCUCUGACAGCUGAAAUUCUUCGUCUUAGAGAAGAAAACGCUGCUACACAGGCAAGACUUCAGCAGUACAUGGUCACAACAGAUGAGCAACUGAUAUCACUCACACAUGCUAUUAAGAACUGUCCUGUGAUAAAUAACAGACAAGAAAUUCAGGCAUCAGAAAGCGGAGCCACAGGUAGAAGAGUUAUGGACAGUCCAGAGCGUCCAGUUGUAAAUGCCAAUGUCUCAGUGCCAUUGAUGUUCAGAGAGGAAGUGGCUGAAUUCCCACAGGAAGAGUUGCCCGUUAAACUGUCUCAGGUGCCAGACCCUCCAGAUAACAUGAAUCUGGCCAAGAAUUUUCCAGCACAUAUUUUUGAGCCAGCUGUGUUGUUAACACCACCCAGGCAGAAGAGCAACUUAAAAUUCUCUCCUCUUCAGGACGUAUUGAGAAGGACUGUUCAAACUCGUCCUGCUCCACGACUUCCUCCAACUGUGGAAAUAAUUGAGAAGGAACAAAAUUGGGAAGAGAAGACCUUACCUAUUGAUACAGACAUUCAGAAUUCAAGUGAAGAGAAUCGUCUCUUCACUCAGAGAUGGAGAGUCUCUCACAUGGGAGAAGAUUUGGAGAACAAAACUCAGGCUCCUUUUGUUAACCUCUCACAGCCCCUCUGCAAUUCCCAUUCCAACACUCAACAGUCAAGAAGCCCCACAUUCUCAGAAGAGCUCCCAGUACUGGGAGAUGGGCAGCAGCUGAGAACAAAUGAGUCAUUAAUACAAAGAAAGGACAUAAUGACACGAAUUGCUGAUUUGACAUUGCAGAAUUCAGCUAUCAAGGCACAUAUGAAUAAUAUUAUUGAGCCCAGAGGAGAGCAAGGGGAUGGACUCCGGGAGUUGAACAAACAAGAAAGUGCAAGUGACAUGACUUCUACUUUUCCAGUAGCACAGUCUCUAACACCAGGUAGUAUGGAGGAACGGAUUGCAGAAUUGAAUCGACAAAGUAUGGAGGCUCGUGGAAAACUACUGCAGUUGAUAGAGCAGCAGAAACUUGUUGGUUUGAAUCUUUCUCCACCAAUGUCACCUGUUCAGUUACCUCUCAGAGCAUGGACUGAAGGAGCAAAGAGGACAAUUGAGGUAUCUAUUCCAGGAGCAGAAGCCCCAGAAAGCUCAAAAUGUAGUACUGUCUCUCCCGUCAGCGGGAUAAAUACAAGAAGAUCUUCCGGGGCUACUGGUAAUUCUUGUUCUCCACUAAAUGCCACCUCAGGAAGUGGGAGAUUCACACCUCUUAAUCCAAGAGCAAAGAUUGAGAAACAGAAUGAAGAAGGCUGGUUUGCUCUUUCUACCCAUGUAUCAUAAGUGAAGUCAAGUCUCACUGAGUUUGUUCUUAAUAAUUUAUUACUUCCCUUUCCCUGCUCUGACUUUUAAGUUUUUAUAUCCUUCUUUCAGAUAAAACCUACAAAGAUCCUGUGAAUUAGUACUAAUGAAACAGAGAAAUAAAGCAAUUAUUUUUUGACUUUCUCAAAUAAGUUUUCAACAACCAACUGACCUACAGCUCCCUGUGAAUGAAACUUUGACUGUAGAGAAGUUAAAGUUUUGUAUUUUAAUACUUUCUUAAGUAUUUUAAGGGUUUUUUUUAUUAAUACAUUUUUACCUUUAUCUUUAUUCAGGGUUUUUUGAGGUUUAGUAUAUCUUAGUUGAUCCAUUUAUUUAUUUAUUUUCCUGAAGAACUAAUUUGCUUUGCAUGUAACUUACAAUAAAAUUCCUCUGUGUGAUUAGAGUCUGGCUUUCAGGAAUAUGUAACACCCACUUUUCUUUCUUUUUUCUUGGGAAGUCAUUGCUGUUCAUCACUUUUUCCAUCAAGUGAAAUAUACAGCCUUAAAAACAAUAGGCCUGGGAGUGUUUGUUUAUAUUUGCUUAAGCAGUGUCAUGAGGCGGAGAAGGCCCGACCAAAGGGCGGAUAGGUACCGGGUUCCCGGAGAGCUGGACGCCGGCCGCGCAUGCGCCCCACGGCCCGCCCUGGUUCCGCCUCCCUGGAAGAGGGGUGGCGUUGUCUCGGUAACCGGAGUAAACGGAGGCCUCCGGCAGACGCUGUGAAGAGAGGAGCCGCGGCGGUCAGUACCUUCGAGGAAAUGAAGGAACCAGAUGAUCAGGAUACUGAUGGGGAGAAAUCAGUUACAUCAAAGAGUGAUGGGAAGAAGUCUCUGAGGUCUUCUAAAUCAGAAUCAAGAUCUCCUGUUCAAGAAGAUAACACAUUUUUAGAAGAUGACACAGAUGAAACAUUUACCAAAGGGGAAGGAUCAUAUUUAGAAGAAGACUCAGAUGAGGAACGUUUGGAAGGAAGUUUGAGUUCAUUUCAGUAUGGUGAUUUGCAAAGCACUACAGUACCUCAGCAAACCCCUGCUCCAGCUGUGGAAGAAGCAGAGGAGGAAGUUAAGAAGAAAAUAUCAGAGAGCUUCUUCUAUGAUUAUAUGGAGCUUGCUUCGAUGCCUUUUGUGACUCUGGAUUCAAACAUACCACUGGAUCUUCUCACACUUGUGUAUCCACCCUGGCUAAAUAUGUAUAAUUUUGGGAUUUUCAUUUCUUAGGUCAGAGGUCAGCAAACUAUAGCCCAGGGAGCCCAAAUGUGCCUUCCCACCUGUUUUGGUAAAUCAAGUUUUAUUGCAACACAGCCACAUCCAUUUGCUUACAUUUUGUUUAUUAUGGCUGCCAUCACACAACAAGGACAGGGAUAAGUAGUUGUGACAGAGACCAUCUGGCUCACAAGGCAAAAACUAUUUACUACCUUCCCUUUAUAAAAAAAUGUGUGCCAACCCAUAUUAGGUAAUUCUAAGAAGCUUGAAUUCUUAGAGAUUUGAUAGAAAUGCAUGAUCUUAAUUUAAACUAAGCUUUUGUUUGAUGCCAAAUAACCAUACAGAGAAAUAUUUUUUCUGGCUGUCCUUUGCACAAGUGGAAAGGCUGCAGUUCAUGAGAUCUGAGUGAAGGAAAUCAGAAGGCUUCUUCUUCCCAUUUACUUUUGUCAGUGCCUGUCAAGUUACAUAAUCAAUUUCCCUUCUUGAAACACUUAUGUGUCUGUCCAUUGUAAGGCAUUAGUACUUUCACAUUAUAUAUCAGAUGAGCUAUCAGAGAAGACAAUUCUUAGGAAACAGGGCACAAAAUAUAAAGUUUUAAUUGGUUUGGAGAAUAAGAGUCUUUUAAGAUAUGUAGAAACAGGAUGAUUGACAAGGGGAUUUUGUGUUCGUCAUCACAUUAUGAUGUUAGGUUUGCAAUGCGGGUAGUUAGAAAACAGUUUUCAUUGAGGUCCUUAGCUGGCAAUGUACUGUGCUUCCCUUUUGGAUAGUUAGUACUUAUCACCACGUGGCCUAAACCACCAACUGGCCUCUUACAUAAGGAAUACUUACAGAGAUAGGGUGGUGUACUCCCUGACUCAGUUUUGCUUUUUACAUAAAAACAUAAAAAUAGAACAUGUUGUUAAAUCCCAGGUGUAACUAAAUUAAUUCGUGCUGAUUUAUCUUGUAACCUGGAAUUUUCUCUCUUCAUGGCUUUUUUUUUCCUUAUCUUUGGACAAGUUUCUGACAAAAGUUAUGCUGUUUGCUUUCUUUUAGCCUUUUUUUCCCAAAUGGGAUGGGGUGGUAUAUUAGAGUCCCCUGGAAGUUUUUCCUAAAGUACACAAUGCUCUGAUGCCUUCCGGGACCUACUGUGCUAGUUCUUUGUGGAGAGGGACUUGGGAAUAUGUACUCUGAAGAAACUCCGAGUUGGUUUGGCAGUGCACUGCCUUCUCACUGCUCCAGGAUGGGAGGGUCUGUAUUAGACAAAUAUGCCUAAAUUCUAAACAUCAGAGUCAGAAGAACCUUAACUUUUAUUCCAAUAUAUGAAUUAUCUCUAUUCGUGCUGGAUGGGUGGCUGUAUAAACUAUAGCCUUUUCUUAAACAUUUUCAACACCAGGAAAAUCACAAAGUAGCUUACCCCACUUUUGGACGGCUCACUAGAGAGCUUUUUGGGCCUUGAAUAAAAUUCUGCCUUGCUGGGAUGGCCCCCAUUAGAUUUAGUUCUCCUCUCUGCAGAUGGACAUAUAUAAUCUCUAUAUCUUGUGAGGAAUUCUAGGAAGAACAAGUCAGCCAUCAGGUAUUCCCUAAGUACUCUUUUAAUUAACCCUUUAAUGAUUAUUAGUAUAUUAUAUUGAUUCUACUUCAGUUUUUGCUUUUUUGUUUUGUUCUGUUUUGUUUUGAGAUGGAGUCUUGCUCUGUCGUCCAGGCUGGAGUGCAAUGGCACGAUCUCUGCUUACUGCAACCUCCGCCUGCCGGGUUCAAGCAAUUCUCCUGCCUCAGCCUCCCGAGUAGCUGGGACUAUAGGCAUGCACCACCACAUCCAGCUAAUUUUUGUAUUUUUAGUAGAGAUUGGGUUUCACCAUAAUGGCCAGGCUGGUCUCGAACUCCUGACCUCGUGAUCUGCCCGCCUUGGCCUCCCAAAAUGCUGGGAUUACAGGUGUGAGCCACCGCGCCUAGCCCUCUACUUCAGUUUUUAAAUUUAUGUCUUCUAAAUUUUAGCAAUGUUAAAUCAAGUUUAGCCUAAAGCUGCCUCCUUACAUACUUUAAGUUCAGCCUCCAGGUUUCUCUGUACAUGGUGAACUAUAACCUAAAGGGAGUUAGACUCUAGCCUACUCUUGAGCCAGUUACUGAGUUGUGGUCAAAGGUGGCCAACUGUUCAAACUGUGUUAAAAUAAGGCAGAUGCCAAGCUGUAACCAAUUCGGCUAUUUCUGUACCUCACUUUCGUUUUCUGUAUGUCACUUUCCUUUUUCAGUCCAUAAAUCUUCCUGCACGUGGCUGUGCUGGAGUCUCUGGGCCUACUCUGGCUCAGAAGGCUGCCGAAUUCUUGAAUGGUUCUUUGCUCAAUUAAACUCUGUUAAAUUUAA